rfam:Triticum aestivum genome assembly, contig: Triticum_aestivum_CS42_TGACv1_scaffold_032757_1BL
AUCCUACUCCCUCCGUUCAGAAUUACUUGUCAACAAAAUGGAUGUAUCUACAACUAAAAUACAUCUAGAUAUAUUUAUUUCUUGGACGAAUAAUUCCGAACGGAGGGAGUAUAUU